AGAGUUUGAUCCUGGCUCAGAACGAACGCUGGCGGCAGGCUUAACACAUGCAAGUCGAACGAGUAAGAGCCGUAGCAAUACGGAGUUCUGCUAGUGGCGCACGGGUGAGUAACGCGUGGGAAUAUGCCCUUUAGUACGGAAUAACAGUUGGAAACGACUGCUAAUACCGUAUACGCCCUUCGGGGGAAAGAUUUAUCGCUAAAGGAUUAGCCCGCGUGAGAUUAGGUAGUUGGUGGGGUAAUGGCCUACCAAGCCUACGAUCUCUAGCCGGUCUGAGAGGACGAUCGGCCACACUGGAACUGAGACACGGUCCAGACUCCUACGGGAGGCAGCAGUGGGGAAUAUUGGACAAUGGGCGAAAGCCUGAUCCAGCCAUGCCGCGUGAGUGAUGAAGGCCUUAGGGUUGUAAAGCUCUUUUGUCAGGGAAGAUAUUGACGGUACCUGAAGAAUAAGCACCGGCUAACUUCGUGCCAGCAGCCGCGGUAAUACGAAGGGUGCUAGCGUUGUUCGGAAUUACUGGGCGUAAAGCGCGCGCAGGCGGUCUAUCAAGUCAGAGGUGAAAUGCCGAAGCCCAACUUCGGAACUGCCUUUGAAACUGUUAGACUAGAAUAUGGGAGGGGAUAGCGGAAUUCCUAAUGUAGAGGUGAAAUUCGUAGAUAUUAGGAGGAACACCGGUGGCGAAGGCGGCUAUCUGGCCCAUUAUCGACGCUGAGGCGCGAAAGCGUGGGGAUCAAACAGGAUUAGAUACCCUGGUAGUCCACGCUGUAAACGAUGAGUGCUAGCUGUUGGGACCUUAGGUCUCAGUGGCGCAGCUAACGCAUUAAGCACUCCGCCUGGGGAGUACGGUCGCAAGAUUAAAACUCAAAGGAAUUGACGGGGACCCGCACAAGCGGUGGAGCAUGUGGUUUAAUUCGAGGCAACGCGAAGAACCUUACCAGGACUUGACAUGUCCAGUUUGGAUCUCAGAAAUGAUUUCCUUCAGUUUGGCUGGCUGGAACACAGGUGCUGCAUGGCUGUCGUCAGCUCGUGUCGUGAGAUGUUGGGUUAAGUCCCGCAACGAGCGCAACCCUCAUCUUUAGUUGCUACCAUUUAGUUGAGCACUCUAAAGAAACUGCCGGUGAUAAGCCGGAGGAAGGUGGGGAUGACGUCAAGUCUUCAUGGCCCUUAUGUCCUGGGCUACACACGUGCUACAAUGGCAGUGACAAUGCGCCGCUACCUCGCGAGGGGAAGCUAAUCGCAAAAAGCUGUCUCAGUUCGGAUUGUACUCUGCAACUCGAGUGCAUGAAGUUGGAAUCGCUAGUAAUCGCGCAUCAGCAUGGCGCGGUGAAUACGUUCCCGGGUCUUGUACACACCGCCCGUCACACCAUGGGAGUUGGUUCUACCUUAAGCUGCUGUGCUAACCGCAAGGAGGCAGGCAACCACGGUAGGGUCAGUGACUGGGGUGAAGUCGUAACAAGGUA
rnacentral:rRNA from 1 species